CGCUGCUUCCCGUCAUCGCGAGUUGCGUGGCGCUGGAGCUGCGGCAGAGCAGGGUGUUCUGCAGCGGGGUUUGUCACACGCCCUCGAGCCGGGGCGGCCGUCGGCAGGGGAACAGCAGAGCACGAGCUGAGUCGGAGGCAGAGGCAUUGCUGUCGGCGCCAGCUGUAGCUCUGUGUUGUGGAUAUGGCACAGCGACAAGCGACGAUGUCCCUUCUGUCUUUAGUGCUUUUCCGAUGGUCAGAGCUUAAAAGGAAAGCUAAAGGUGAACUGAGAAAAAUUCCAGGCUCUAGAAGCCCAACAGUGGACCAGCCACUUGUGCCCUUGCUAAAGGGACACAUCUCCACUACCUACCAAGACUAAUACGAUGAUCCAUUUUCUCUGCACAGCCCCUACCGUCCCACACCUCUCCAGAAAAAACACAAAACGAGUUCCAAGCUUUCGCAAGUUACUGAGAACUAGUAAAAUCAAACUUGACAACAAAUUAAAGAACAAACAGUACAAGCAGCAGAGUGCUGCUAAAAAGUAUCGAAAAGAACAAAAGAAGCUAAGGGAGGCUGUCAGAGAUGCCAUCGCUAGAAGACCUUUUCCAUUGGAAGAAUGCAAGAAAAAACAAGUUGCUGAAAAACGGGAGGAAGAAGAGGAAGAAGAUGCUCUUCCUCUGGACAUGAUGGAUGAAGAUGACUUAAAAUUAAUGGAAGAUCUGUCUCAAAAAGCAUCCUUUUUAACCAGAGAUCUUUCUUCUAAUGAACCUGUUCACGUCAAAAAACGAAAACAUGAAAACGUGAUUGAGAAAUACGAGAAGGUGCCAAGACGCCUGCAGACUGAGCCAGAAAAAGAACUCAUCCAUCUGCUUCCCAUCAAGGACAAGGGUGGCAUUAUUCCCCAAACAAUAGAAAAGCCAGUUCCCAGUGUUGCAGAGGAUGAAGAAGAAGAUGCAGAAGAAAUGGAUGAAGCAGAGGAGUGCAAUGAAGAACCCCUGCCUCUUCUCACUCCUGAGGAAAUGGCUGCCCAAAGGAGACAAAAGCUGCAGGAACGGAAGAUGCACAUAGCUGCCUUAGCAUCUGCCAUUCUCUCUGAGCCAGAUAACAAUAUUAAAAAGUUGAAGGAGCUGCGUGCCGUGCUGAUGGAACAGGAUCCUAACGUGGCCGUGAUUGUUCGGAAGCUGGUCAUGGUUUCUUUGAUGGAGAUAUUCAAAGAUAUUGUGCCUUCUUACAAAAUUAGGCCUCUGACUGAAGCAGAAAAGGCUACCAAGGUUAAAAAAGAAACUCAGAAGCUGAGAGAAUUUGAAGAAGGCUUGGUGAGCCAAUAUAAAUUUUACUUGGAAAAUCUGGAGCAAACAAUUAAAGAUUGGAAACAAAGGAAGUUGAAGAAAAGCAAUGUCAUCUCAUUAAAAGCAUAUAAAGGUCUAGCAGAGAUAGCAGUGAAGUGUCUGUGUGAGCUGCUUGUGGCCCUGCCCCACUUCAACUUCCACAAUAACAUUAUUGUUCUCAUUGUACCGCUCAUGAAUGAUGCAUCAAAAAUGAUUUCUGAAUUGUGCUUUGAGGCAGUUAAGAAGCUCUUUAAGCAAGACAAAUUGGGCUAUGCUUCACUUGGUGUAGUUAAGGUCAUUUCUGGCCUUGUGAGGGGCAGAAAUUAUGAUGUCAGACCUGAGGUGUUAAAAGUAUUUCUUCACUUAAGAAUUAAGGAAGUAGAAUUACAGAAAGAUUCUGAAGACAUUGCACCAAAGAAAAAAUUCAUGACUUACAAAGAGAAGAGAAAAAAUCUUUCAAGAAUGCAAAGAAAGUGGAAGAAAGCAGAAGAGAAACUGGAACGAGAACUCUUGGAAGCAGAAGCAUCAGAAAGUAAAGAAAAAAAACUGAAGCUGCACACAGAGACCUUGAAUGUUGUAUUUGUAACUUACUUCAGAAUCUUGAAGAAAGCUCAGAAGUCUCCACUUCUGCCAGCUGUGCUAGAAGGUCUUGCAAAGUUUGCUCAUCUCAUAAAUGUGGAAUUUUUUGAUGACCUGUUGAUAGUCCUUCAUUCUCUUAUUGCAUCUGGGGAUUUAAGCUAUCGUGAAAGUCUUCACUGUGUUCUCAGUGCUUUUCACAUACUCUCUGGUCAAGGUGAUGUUCUUAACAUUGAUCCAAUGAAAUUCUACACACAUCUUUACAAGACACUGUUCAGCCUCCAUGCAGGCCGUACCAACGAUGAUGUUGGGAUUGUGCUGCAGUGCCUGGACGUGAUGUUUGCCAAACGGAGGAAGCAGGUUUCCCAGCAGCGAGCUCUCGCUUUCCUGAAGCGACUUUCCACCCUUGCUCUUCAUGUACUUCCAAACUCCAGUGUUGGGAUCUUGUCGACAAACAGGGUGUUCAUGCAGACCUUCCCAAAGAUGGACCUGUUGCUGGACAACGAAUCUCAAGGCAGUGGGCUUUAUCGCCCAGAACUGGAUGAACCAGAGCAUUGCAAUGCUCAGAACACGGCUCUGUGGGAGCUGCAUUUGCUGCAGAGACACUAUCAUCCAACAGUGCAGAAAUUUGCAGCUCACCUUAUUGCUGGAGCUCCAACUGAAGGCUCAGGAGCUCUUCCACUUGAUUUGAGCCAAAGGCCUGCUACAGAGCUUUUUGAGGCAUACAGUAUGAAAGGAAUGACCUUCAAUCCUCCUGUUGCAUCAGUAACACCCAGAAGAAAGCUUCUCUGUUUGGAGCAGCAGUGUUUUGUGCUCGAGUGCUAAAGCUGACAUGGAAUAACCGAGUGCACAAAUCACUCCCCGUGUUUAUGGGUUUCUUAAGUUAGUCAAAUCAGGGGAGGGUGACGACACAUGUUUGUUUACAACAUACAGUCCCAGAAAAUGUCUUUGUCCACAUACGUGAAGAUACAGGAAGAGGAGACUCUUCUGACAGCUCACAGGCAUCUCUCCGGUCUACGACAUCCCACUCGGGAGUCCCAGGUCAGGGAUGUGACUCCAGCAGUAUUGCCUGGAUUAAGCAUCUAUAGCAGAGGGCACGCAAUUGCUGACCAGGUCAGUCUGCAGCAGGUUCCUUUAAAGGCACUGCAGAAGGAUUCAGUGAUGUCAAUUCCAGUUUUCAAAACAACAAAACCAAGAAAUGCAGCAGAGGAGGGAAUGUGACUGGGAUCUUUCCAGAACUUCCUUUACUUUUCUUGAAUUCAGAUUGUUUUAAUGAUUUAGGCCUGGAAGUAAGGUUUCAAAUUUGUCCCUUCAUAUUUGAAAUCUGUUGCAACUGAAGAUAUUACUUGAAUGCCGUUACUGAUUUAGCAGUAGUACGAUGGUGCAUGUCACGUGCUUCAAUAAUCAGGUGUAUGUGGAAAGAAAAUUGUGAUCUUAAAUUGGCCAUAUGUGAGAGGGGAUUGUCAACAGAAGACAAGAAGUUUCCUCUUCAUUUACAAGGAGUUGUAACUUCUUGGGUAAUAGCUCAGUGCUGUUGUAGCACUCUACAAAGGUCUGGUUAGUGUACGUUAGUGGACAGUUUACAUGUACCAUCGGCAUUUCAACGGGACGGUCUUACGCCGUGUGUUUCAUUUGCUGCUUUAAGUCAAGCAAGGGGGAAGACAUUGAAGAGAUACAGAAGGGACAGUAAAAACAUUUAAAUGGUUCCAGCAAAAUUUCCACAGAGAGAAAUUAACACCAUAAUCCUGUUUUAGCUAAAAUAAGAUCGUCAAUCCUCAUGAUUUUGUUACAGUGCAUGUAAUAAAAACCAACAAAAGCUCUGCUAGAUACUUCUGUUUACUUUGGUCCUGAGCAAAAGAGUAACAGGACAUCAAUAAUUAACCACAUAGUUGAUUAAGACAGUUAUGAUAAAAUAACCAGGAUUUUGGUUUUAUUUUUUAAAAGGGGCAGAGAAAGGGGGUGAUGCUGCAGUCCUCCUCGCUGUGUGGAUUCUCUGUAGCACGUGC